rnacentral:rRNA from 1 species
CUCUUCCUACGGGACGCAGCAGUGGGGAAUAUUGGGCAAUGGGCGCAAGCCCGACCCAGCAACGCCGCGUGAAGGAGGAAGGCUUUCGGGUUGUAAACUUCUUUUGUCAGGGACGAAGCAAGUGACGGUACCUGACGAAUAAGCCACGGCUAACUACGUGCCAGCAGCCGCGGUAAUACGUAGGUGGCAAGCGUUAUCCGGAUUUAUUGGGUGUAAAGGGCGUGUAGGCGGGAGCGCAAGUCAGAUGUGAAAACUCAGGGCUCAACCCUGAGCCUGCAUUUGAAACUGUGUUUCUUGAGUGCUGG